AGGACCAAUGCGAGUGUGGCCGAAUUCGGCCAAAAACGGCCGAAAACAGUCAACCCGAGGCGACUCGCCGUCGCCAGCGGCGGCGCCGUCGCCGGAGCACGGCGGAGCCGCCGUGCCGGAGUUGCGAUUUGGGCCGAAAGAGGCCCUGGGCCUAAUUUGGAUUUUUUUUGGAACACGUGCAGGUACUGUUAGUGUGUUUCAGUUCCCCGGGAAAAAUUCAGGGAAAAUUAGGGACAGCCUGCAGGCGCACUGUGAAUCGUAUUCGGAUCCCGAAAACAAGUAAGGACCCCUCACCCUAUUUCCUAU
rnacentral:lncRNA from 1 species